CCUACGGGUGGCUGCAGUAAGGAAUAUUGGUCAAUGGACGCAAGUCUGAACCAGCCAUGCCGCGUGGAGGAUGAAGGUCCUCUGGAUUGUAAACUUCUUUUAUCUGGGACGAAAAAGGGCCUUUCUAGGUCAACUGACGGUACCAGAUGAAUAAGCACCGGCUAACUCCGUGCCAGCAGCCGCGGUAAUACGGAGGGUGCAAGCGUUAUCCGGAUUCACUGGGUUUAAAGGGUGCGUAGGCGGGCAUGUAAGUCCGUGGUGAAAUCUCCGAGCUU
rnacentral:rRNA from 1 species